rnacentral:rRNA from 1 species
UGGUGCCUUCGGGAACUCUGAGACAGGUGCUGCAUGGCUGUCGUCAGCUCGUGUUGUGAAAUGUUGGGUUAAGUCCCGCAACGAGCGCAACCCUUAUCCUUUGUUGCCAGCGGUUAGGCCGGGAACUCAAAGGAGACUGCCAGUGAUAAACUGGAGGAAGGUGGGGAUGACGUCAAGUCAUCAUGGCCCUUACGAGUAGGGCUACACACGUGCUACAAUGGCGCAUACAAAGAGAAGCGACCUCGCGAGAGCAAGCGGACCUCAUAAAGUGCGUCGUAGUCCGGAUUGGAGUCUGCAACUCGACUCCAUGAAGUCGGAAUCGCUAGUAAUCGUAGAUCAGAAUGCUACGGUGAAUACGUUCCCGGGCCUUGUACACACCGCCCGUCACACCAUGGGAGUGGGUUGCAAAAGAAGUAGGUAGCUUAACCUUCGGGAGGGCGCUUACCACUUUGUGAUUCAUGACUGGGGUGAAGUCGUAACAAGGUAACCGUAGGGGAACCUGCGGUUGGAUCACCUCCUUA